CCUACGGGGGGCAGCAGUGGGGAAUAUUGGGCAAUGGGCGCAAGCCCGACCCAGCGACGCCGCGUGAGGGAAGACGGUCUUCGGAUUGUAAACCUCUUUCAGCAGGGAAGACAAAAGGACGGUACCUGCAGAAGAAGCCACGGCUAACUACGUGCCAGCAGCCGCGGUAAUACGUAGGUGGCAAGCGUUAUCCGGAAUUACUGGGUGUAAAGGGUGUGUAGGCGGGUUUGCAAGUCAGAUGUGAAAAUUAUGGGCUCAACGUGGGAACUGCCUUUGAAACUGGCAAACUGGAGUGUGUGAGAGGAUAGUGGAAUUCCAGGUGUAGGAGUGAAAUCCGUAGAUAUAUGGAGGAACAUCAGUGGCGAAGGCGACUAUCUGGCACAUAACUGACGCUGAGGAGCGAAAGCAUGGGUAGCAAACAGGAUUAGAUACCCUAGUAGUC
rnacentral:rRNA from 1 species